rnacentral:piRNA from 1 species
UAGAAAUGAUGGGACGUGUUUGAGGUAUA